rnacentral:lncRNA from 1 species
ACCAGCAUCAUCGUCCACAAGUAUGCCUUUAUGGAAUGGGCUGGAGUGGCAUGUUCCCCACGACGAGCACCACAUGUUGGGGUCCACAGUGUCCACAGGUGUGCCUGUCUGAAACUGGCUGGAGCAGCAUGUUCCAAGUGAUGAAGAAACCCGUGAUGGCAUCCACAGGUGUGCCUGUAUGGAAAGGGCUGGAGGGGUGUGUUCCCUGGUACAAGGGACCCUGCAGUGGCGUCCACAGGUUUACCUGUGUAGAACGGGCUGGAGUGGCGUGUUCCCCACCACUAGGGUCCUCAUGACUUUGUCCACAGUUGUGCUUGCCGGGAAUGGGAUGGUGCAGCCUGUUCCCCCUGAUGAGGGAUUCCACAAUAGAGUCCGCAGGUGUGCCUGUCUAGAACAGUCUCAAGUGGCAUGUUCCCCAGGAUGAGGGGCCCUGUGACAGUGUCCCAAGGUGUGCCUGUCUGGAACCGGCUGGAGGGGGGUGUUCCCCAAGA